rnacentral:rRNA from 1 species
AGGAAGUAAAAGUCGUAACAAGGUUUCCGUAGGUGAACCUGCGGAAGGAUCAUUACAGAGAAAGUAAACGCGGAUCAAACCGCGAACUUCUAAACCUUUGACGAUUGACUCAUGUUGCCUCGGCGGGUUCUCCCGCCAGAGGAUACAUCAAAACUCCUGUUUUAACGGUGUUGUCUGAGCUACAAGCAACGAAUCAAAACUUUCAACAACGGAUCUCUUGGUUCUGGCAUCGAUGAAGAACGCAGCGAAAUGCGAUAAGUAGUGUGAAUUGCAGAAUUCAGUGAAUCAUCGAAUCUUUGAACGCACAUUGCGCCCCUUGGUAUCCCGAGGGGCAUGCCUGUUCGAGCGUCAUUUCACCACUCAAGCCUAGCUUGGUGUUGGGCGACGUCCCCUUUGGGGACGCGCCUCGAAACGCUCGGCGGCGUGGCACCGGCUUUAAGCGUAGCAGAAUCUUUCGCUUCAAAAGUCGGGGCCCCGUUUGCCGGAAGACCUACUCGCAAGGUGACC